UACUACCAAGCCAAAAUUUUUAACAUAAAAACAACCAGCUACUAUGGCAAUUGGAAUGACUAAAAAUUACCCAGAACUUUGAAUUAGUGUGUAUCUGUUUUCAUCUUCUGUCCUUCCCUACUGCCUCUUAGCACUGUAAAGGGUGGAAGACAAAUGCAGAUCUGAUGGGAAGGCCAUCAACAAGCAGGCUAUGGCUUUUGCCACACUAACUCCUGCCACAGGGGGAACCAAACCCAGUUUGCCCUAACAGCGCUCUAGCAGCCUGCUGCUAGUUUUUGCUUCUCUAAGGACUCUGAAUCAUCCUGUUCUUUUGUGUACUCCUCCCACACGCAAGGUCUCAUAUGAGGCAGCCUAUCUUUUCUAGCAAGAAAAGCUGCACAGAGAUUCCCUUGCGAGCAUGUGUAAUACUGCUGCUGAAUUGGCUAAGGAUAUAACGCAGAGCACCAAGAGACUGAGCACAAAGCCAGCCUGGGAGCAAAGAGCAGAGCCUGGAACUGCAAUUCCACCAAGCCCUAUACGGUAGCAUGGGACUAGGUCGGCUGUAUAUCAGAUUACUGCAACGCUCUACAGGCAAUGGAAUGCUAAGACCACAACUGGGCAGUGCAACUUGGAGAACUAUUUUCUUCUGCUCUUCAAAACUAGUUUGACUAGACUUUAAGAUGACUCCCAGGAUCUAUCACCAAAUGGACACAGUUGUUACCUCAGGCAGCCCAUUGUGAUCAUUUGCAGGACUUGGUCUCUGCUGUUUUCCUGGCAGCAGUGCUCAAUCUCUUUCCAGCUCAAAUAAUCUGCCAAGCAGCAUUUCACCACUGCCAUUUCCUAUGGCAGGCUGACAGUCUUGAGUUGUUAUGCCUACUGUUCAUGCCAGGACCUUGUGUUUGGUGACACUUCUGUGUGACUCAGUUCAGGCUCAAUGAUUCCUGCAAAGUAAACAAGGCCAUAGACAAUAACCUGAAGAGCUCAACUAAUCCAGGAACGACCCCACUGUUACAGCUGUUUCUCCAUAAUGAAAAUUAAAGGAGAGGGGAUUGGUAGAGAUCAGGAGCAAAAAUGAACAACUGAUGAACACAAUCCUGCUGGACCAAUGUGAUAUGGUGACAUGCGGUUUUGAUUCUUCUGGAGGCUGUGGGUAUGUGUGUGGCUGCAGAAUUCUGGAAAACGGAAUCUUUACAGCCCCAGAAACAUCACCAUAAGCUCUACAUACAUCCGAAACAAAACAAAAGACCAUGGAACUGAAUUUGACUUUUCUCUGGAAAUCAUCAGUCCUGAUAUCUUUGCACCUCACUGAGCAAAACUUUACUUCAUGCAUGGCAUUUUGUGAUCUUAAGUCUUUAAACCUAAUUUUGACCUGUGUAAAAUCCUGCAUCAGAAUUCCUUCUCUAUGUAAAUAGCAAAUAGCUAGCUGAGGUCAUAUGUUUUUUGAGUCUAUCCUAAGAAUAUAACUUCCUUUAACAGGGAAAAAAGCCAAGUUUCUUUGUUGGCCAACAACAAAAGCUGUAUAUACUUGUCAGACACUUAAAGCAUAAAUAGUCAGCUGGUUCAGUGUCACAUGGGCCCCUUCUCUAAAUUCCAGUCUAGAAAAGAGAUUAAGACAUCUCAUCUUUUGCGAUACAGAAGACAAGAGCAACACUUGCUGGUGUUAACACGUGAAGAAAUUUCUGAGUGCACAGCUGUAAAGAUCAGUCCUUUGCUGCAAGCAGUCUUUCUAGUGGCCAUAGAAUAACUGAAUUGAAAGAUGGCAUUUUCACCAUUGAAUAUCCCAUUGUAUGGUUUUUAAAAGGUACAUACACAGCUGGAGGAAAAAUCAAAAGACUAUUUCUCUUCACCACAAUGAAUGCUAAGUUAUAUCAUUUGAAAUAAUUAUGAAUGUCAGUGUGUAGCUGUCAUUUUAUUUCUAGCUAAGCUAAGGAAGACCGAUGACAUUGUAAAAGGCAUUGCAAAGACCUACCCUGGUCUGUGUACAGGUUUGAUCAUUUAUAUCCAGGAUAAAUACCCACAGGAAAGUUGCUAAGAUGAUACAAAGAAGAGUAAGCCUGGCUUAUAAUGCAUAGGCUACAAAAUAAAAGCUGAGGGGAACUCGUUGUGAAACAGAACCAUUCUUGGUUCAGAGGGUAAAACACUGGAAAUAAAAAAAGAACUAUUUAAGCUGAAUAUUGUCAAAAAGACAAACUGACAAUGUGUAAACUGGAGCUGAAAAUUAGAAGAUUCCUAACCUAAGUGAGAUUCUGUAACUGGCUUUCUAUCGGAGCAAUGAAAGUUUUCUUCCUUCUCUAACUGUAUAUAAAGCCUGACAAAUUAAAGAAGGGGCUUGCAUGAUAUGCUCCUAGCAAUACCAGGAACUGGACUCAGUCAGAACUUACUUCCAGACAUGCUGCUAUUUAAGAUACCCAAAGCCACUGAAAUCUCCACUGAACUUGGAGCACAGACCAGGACCAUUGCAUUCCAAUUCUAUAUAAAACAGCACUUUCCCCCAUAUGUGUUCCCACCAAAGGCAAUAUGACAGCUCACAGUGCCUUAAAAAUAAAUAAGUAAGUGUGGCACUAUACACCAUAGGAAACAUCUGCUGAAAUUAUCUGCUAGGACUUCAUAUCGAAAGUUUCCAUCUCCAAAAAAUACUUUGACCUUUAGUUUCUAAAUGCUUCUGCAAAGCCGUAGAUUAAAAUUAUGUCACAUUAGACCUAAGUGCUGCAGCAAAAUUCCACUAAAGACAAGGAAGGGCAGUGUUUUAAGGUAAAGUUUUCUUACAUGUAUACCAAAAGGUACAGAUGAAAAAACUAGAGGAGGUCUCUGUUACACUAACCUUUCCUGAGCCUAAGACUUGAAGCACUUCAAAUAAUUUUACUAUUUUUCCCCAUUUUACAUGUUCCCAUCUCCUUUGAAUUGAUACCAACUUCUGACCCAAAUGUAACUUCAAACCAGACUAUUAUUUGGAACAAUAACUUUGGCUCAAAAAGCAUAAUACUAUCCUGCUCAAUUUAACUAACAGCAACAAAACCCAAUUAACAAUUGAACCUGUGCCAAAAUAAAAAGCUGUGUUUAUUUUGUAGAAAAACCUGUGAAGGGCUUCACACAAUUGCAAAGAGUCUUGCUUGAAACUAAAAUAAGAAAAAAAAAAAUCAGGAGCUACAUUUACUCCUCAGAUUAUCAGAGAUAGCAUCAGAGAUAGCAUAGCAUCUAAACCUGACCAAAAAUAAAAUAAAAAUUAAAAAUUAAAAAGACCACCAGUGGAAAAAUAACCCAUAUUGUUCUCUAGCAACAUAGCAACUGUUUGUUCUCCUGGCCAUUGCAACACACAACUACUCUACUCUUCAUAUGAUAUGAUAUAUUCAUUCUGUCAGUGAUACUCCUCCCAUCUCAAGAGGAUUCUUCUGCAUGUCUUUCUGAGUUCUUUUCAAAAACAACUAUUUGCUCCUAUUCAGCACAUCCUGACUGCUGAUCCCAAAAACUUCUGCUAGGAAGUAUGCUCUAGUGUAUGUUCUUUUUUAUGACCAACUUCUACACUAAUCUACUUUCUUUCCCCACAUGACUGGAUUAAAGUUUUAUGGGGCCCAGGGUAAAACCAAACAAUAAGAAUAAUCUUACUGUCAUCGUCACCAAGUUUCACAGUGAUUCUGUCCUUGUGUUUUCCUCAUUUCAUCCUUUUCCUCCUCCCUGUUUUAGACCAUUGAUUUCUUUACUUGCUGUCCCUCAGUCUGAAGUCUUCCCUGCUGCUCACAUGAAAGAGUGUAAGUUACUGACUGUUGAAAACUUCAGCUGAAACACAGCCAGGUCAAGAUGAGGUUACAUAAAAGUCUAAAGGCAACUUUUUUAGGUCACAUUCUCAGCAGCACAGAUUGUGAAAGUUUCAGUAAGCAGACUGCACUUAGCACUCUAGCCAAUGGUAUUUAUUACAUUAAUAUUGUGCCCAUAGACAGUUUCUAAAGUGCAUUUCUACCAUGUCCAUCCUAUAAGCACAUACUGUACUUGUAUCAUUCCCAGACUACCUAUGCAGCCAGGCGUUUAUUUGUGCUCAUGAACAGACAGGAAGAAACUUCAAAGUAGCUGUUUUUCCAAAAAUAAUUUUACGACAAAAUUACAUUGUCUUGGGUGGGGUGGUUUUUUGUUUGUUUGUUUGUUGCCAUAUGGAGAUGAGCAAGUCUUUGAAACAAUAGACAAAAUGCCUAGUCACUCUAAAUACUUUA